rnacentral:rRNA from 1 species
AUUGAACGCUGGCGGCAGGCCUAACACAUGCAAGUCGAACGAGUGGCGGACGGGUGAGUAAUGUCUGGGAAACUGCCUGAUGGAGGGGGAUAACUACUGGAAACGGUAGCUAAUACCGCAUACAUUCGGAGGUGCCAAGAGGGGAUUAGCUAGUAGGUGGGGUACCGGCUCACCUAGGCGACGAUCCCUAGCUGGGCUGAGAGGAGUACCAGCCACACUGGAACUGAGACACGUUCCAGACUCCUACGGGAGGCAGCAGUGGGGAAUAUUGCACAAUGGGCGCAAGCCUGAUGCAGCCAUGCCGCGUGUAUGAAGAAGGCCUUCGGGUUGUAAAGUACUUUCAGCGGGGAGGCGUUACCCGCAGAAGAAGCACCGGCUAACUCCGUGCCAGCAGCCGCGGUAAUAC